GACGAACGCUGGCGGCGUGCCUAACACAUGCAAGUCGAACGAGUCCAGGGCUUCGGCUCUGAGGCGAGUGGCGGACGGGUGAGUAACACGUGAGUAAUCUAUCCCUUUGCGGGGGAUAACCCGGGGAAACUCGGGCUAAUACCGCAUGGUCGGGCUGCAGGAUCUGCGGUCUGGGAAAGGUGGCCUCUGAAGAUGCUGCCGUGGAGGGAGGAGCUCGCGGGCUAUCAGCUGGUUGGUGAGGUAAUGGCUCACCAAGGCUUCGACGGCUACGGGGUCUGAGAGGACGACCCCGCACAUUGGAACUGAGACACGGUCCAGACUCCUACGGGAGGCAGCAGUGGGGAAUUUUGGGCAAUGGCCGAAAGGCUGACCCAGCGACGCCGCGUGUGGGAGGAAGCUCUUCGGGGUGUAAACCACUGUCAGAGGGGACGAAUGCCGGUGUGGGGAAUACUCAUGCCGGGUGACGGUACCCUCAAAGGAAGCACCGGCUAACUCUGUGCCAGCAGCCGCGGUAAUACAGAGGGUGCAAGCGUUGUUCGGAAUCACUGGGCGUAAAGCGCGCGCAGGCGGUCCUGCAAGUCUGAAGUGAAAUCUCGUCGCUCAACGACGGGGCUGCUUUGGAAACUGCGGGUCUGGAGAUCGGUAGAGGCUGGUGGAAUUGCAGGUGUAGCGGUGGAAUGCGUAGAGAUCUGCAAGAACACCCGUGGCGAAGGCGGCCAGCUGGGCCGAAUCUGACGCUGAGGCGCGAAAGCGUGGGGAGCAAACAGGAUUAGAUACCCUGGUAGUCCACGCCGUAAACGAUGGGCACUAGAUGCCGGGGGGAGCGACCCCGUCGGUGUCGCAGCUAACGCGAUAAGUGCCCCGCCUGGGGAGUACGGCCGCAAGGCUGA
rnacentral:rRNA from 1 species